CUUAACCGACUGAGCCACCCAGGUGCCCCAAUAGCAAUAAUAAUCAAUAAAACUUAUUAAAUGCAAAAUAAAAUCCAUAAGCCUCAAAGAGUUAAUGCAGUUUCCAAAGGUGCUUGACAGAAAAGAAACAGUCUAGGCACAGGGAGAAUCUGGCUUAUUGGGAGCAAAUGAAGCCAAGAUUUUAAAAUGUCUUUUAAUGUGAAACACGUAUGUGCCCCUGGGCCUGAAAACAAGCCACAACCUUCCCAGUUGUAGUGAAGGUUCCUAACAAUAGAAAUGAGUUGCAGUACAAUGUUAUUUAAACUGGAAAGUUCUGAGGAGAAUUUUGAUUUGUAGAGGAGGUCACAGAUGGGAGAAGACAAGUACAGAGGGCAGAAGGGAGAGGCCAUUUUUCUAUGACUCUUCUGAUUACAAAGAGAGCAGAUUUAGCUGCUAGUUCUCAUUAUCUGUGUAUGCAGAAGAGAACCAAACAAGCCUAACAAAAUGAAAAUUGAUAUUUAAUCACAAAGCUAGAAGGUACCUUAUUAAAUUGACCUGCUUUGGUAUUGAGAUAAUUAGUUGUGGUUUUAAGUGUCCUUAUGGAAGCACUCUCAUUCAUGGUGGUGUGGACUUCUGUUUGCUUCUUGCUUAGGGGACAUCAGUUCUUCAAUAGAACUCUGUCAAACAUUCUGAUUCUACAUGGGCUGUGUGGUUUUUGUUUUAAAUUUGUAUUUUAAAAUAAUCAUAGAUUCAUAGGAAAUUGCAAAGAAAAAAAUGUGCAGGGAAUUCCUUAUGCAUCCUUCACCAAGUCUUCCCCUAUGGUAAUGUCAUAUAGAGUUACGUCUCAAAACCGAGAAAUUGACAUUGGAAUACUCCACAGAGCUUAUUCUGAUUUACAAACACUCAUGUGUAUGCGUGUGUGUGUCUGUGCAUCUGUGUGGUUCUACGCAAUGUCAUCCUGUAUAGUUUCAUGUAACACCACUGUGAUCAAGACACAGUGUUCCACGUGGGGUUUGAAGAACUGUAAAGGGAUUCAGAAUGAGUCACUUUGCUUGUGGUCCCACCAGCUUGAGUUCAGGACUUUUUAUUUUGGGGGACUGCUGCUUUGUGGGGAUAGGUAACAUAGCUUUUGCAACAUAAAGUGACUUUUCUUAUGUGAUCAUCAUUAAAGGUGUGUUUCUCAAGGACUAUGUUUUGAGGAAGAAAAUCAUGGUCACUUUAUGUGAAGGAAGUGAAAUGGUAAAUUUAUACCCCAAAACAUAAAAUCUGUUAGUGGUCUUUAUUUUGGGGGCAAGUCCACCAAUUCUGGCAUAACAACAAUGGACUCAAUCCUAGAAAAGUUCCUCUUCUGCCAAGUUUUAGAACAUUUGAGACUUGUUCAAUAAAUGGUGCAACUUUCUAGUUCCUGAAACAGAAGACUGUCAAUCCCCCAGAGAAAUGCCCUGGUAUGUUUGAAGUGAAUAGGUAUGAUUCUACAAUAAAGAAAUGGAAAGUCACUUAAUAGCAUCUUCUAAGCAUUGUCAACAUAUUAAAAUCCGCCUCACUUAUGUUUUAUAGGUAAUUGCUAUCUCCAGAACUUAAGGAUACAUAGUCCUAUCUACUAUUUACAUGGCGUGAGGAUUUUAAUUGUCUCUGCGCCUAGUAUAUCAAAACUAAGGUGCUUAGGAAUGUAAGUUCAGUGUCAUUAAACUUUUUGUUCCCAGGAUUUGCUGAUAAAUCUAUAGUCUAGCAAAACCGUUUGCAUGCGUGGUUUGUUCUAACACCUGCAACCCAGUCUUUCUUGGAAACUCUUAUUUCUGACAUUAUUUUUAGCAAGAGUUCUAGAGGAGAGAAGAGUUCUAGAGUGGGUUGGUUGGAAAACUCUGGUGGAUCCAGCAAGCUCAGCUCUGAUGAAGUAAUGAGAUAUGUGAUGAGAAGUGAAAUGUCUAAACAUCAAGAUAGUAAUUUGGCAAAAGCAGCUUUGGGGUGUUUAUAAAAAGAAUACAUCCCACUAGAUAUAACUGUCUUAGGGGUCUUAGGGUCUUAGGGAUUUAAAAGAGUAAGACUUCAGCAAAGCAUUGUCUCCUAACACUGGGUUUGAAAAAGUCAAUUUAUUUGGGAACAGAGUAGCCAAAAAACAUUAAGAGCCUUAAAUAUUCUGAAAAAGAUAAUCACAAAUCCCACAUUCAUGAAAGAGCAGAGGAGGAAGAUCAUCAUUAAUGACGAUAAAAUGAAAAACAGAAAAGAGGCCAGAUUACUUGCAAUAAAAAAGUAAGCUUAUCUUUAUAGAAAUGUGCUCCUGAAUAUAGAUUUUAAAUGUUAGGAGAGGAAAACCAAGGUUGUGUCAGUAUGUGCUCCCCCUACACACCCAUCUAAUCUUCUAAGGAGUGGAAUAACAAGGAUGUUUUGAACAACUGUGCAGGAGUUAAGAAAAUAUUCAAGCCAAACAGUCUAUUCAGUGGACAUUGAGACAUCCCCCAAAAAUAUUUGUGAAAGAUGGCAAGUUGAAUAGUUUUAGAAAUAAUGUCUUAGUCACUAAGCUUAUAGUUAGGAGGGUGUCAGACUGCAGUGUAUUGGCCUGUAAAAGACAAAAGCAGGUCAAUGUCUUUGGUAACCAACUAGCAAAUAGCAAUAGUAGUCAUGUCAUGUGCCAAGUAAACACGUCAACAUAGGAGUAUUGUUAUAAAGAGUAAAUGAGGGAAUGCAUAGAGACUUUAUAGCACAAGGCUUUUUUUUUUUUUUUUAGCUGGACUUUCUUUACCUCUCAGAAAACAUUAACAUCUCAGUUUGAAGCUAAGUUCUAUGUUGUCGUCACAGGUAUUAGUGCAUUUUACUGCAUGGUUAUAGUAAAAACAAAAUUCAGAGUAUGUUUUACAUCUAUAAUGUCUCACAUCCAUGCCAUUCUUAAGCUAAGACUUCUUUUUCAGCUGUGGAGCAGUACAAACUCAUGACUUUGCUAACAGUUCAUGACUGCUGUGUAAUAACAUAACAUGCACUAGGAAUGUGCUGUAUUAUUUUACCUAAACAUGUAUUAUUUUACCUAAACCUUAGAACAGUGCUGUGAGGUAGGUUACUAUUUUAUCUCUAUUUUACAGAUGGGAAAGCUGAGGCGGAGAGAGUAACUUGCGGAGGUCCAUAGCUGGUAGGUGCUUGAGCCAGGAUGAAACCACGCUCCAAGGCUCAUGCACUUUACUGAAGUCUCUUCUUAAGGAAGCUAUUGGUUAAGAGGGAAGUGAGGGUGGGAGUGGGGCAGCAGAUUAGAUACCUGAGGAUCAGGUAGGGAAAAGGUUAGGGUACAGACAACAUUCUUGCCCAAAGCUAAAUUUCCAGACCAGAAGCUGUUAUAAAGGAAUAGGAGUCUGAGCCACAGAAAUCAGUAAAUGGAGGGGAUGGGGUGUUCAAAGGGAAGACUAGGACCUAAUGCAUGUUUGAGGGAUGACUGGAGAAUUUGGAAAUAGCAAAACAAAUCUGUGAGCAUGAAGGGGUGAGAUUGUAAGAAACCAAACGACCUGAAAGACUCUUGGUGAAGGAGGAGCAGAUUCUUGAGUGAGUAGGUGGAUGUGUGAACUGGUGAGGCUUGGGGUGGAUGUUCUUCUACUGUUUUCAUUGUCUCAACCUGCCCUCGACAUUUCCUCAGAUAUUCCCGUCUUCCUCUAGAGGCUAACAUCUAGGAGCUUGAGGGUUUUCUUUUUAGUAUGACUGAGUAUUCAACUCCUGCAUACUUAGGUUUGUAUAGUCUGAGAGAAUUACUUCAAUAGGAAUUGUAUACCCCUGAAAAAUACACUGCUCAUGAAUUAUCUUUUUCUACAGGUGAGCACUUAAUACAUAUUUUUCAAUCUUAGGUACCAUGAUCUACCUCCAAGAUACAGUAUGCAUUAUUAAUACUCUCAAAUAGGAAGGAUCUGAGUCUUUCCCUGCGGAGACAGCCCUGAAGAACUCCUGUAACGUCAAGCUGGCGAUUUCCAAGAAGCAAUCCGGGACCUACAUUCCCAAAGAGACCCACAAGAAAGAAAAGACAUGAGGCUCUGAAGCACCGACACCAUGCAGAUCUCAGUGCUGCCUGUUCCUGGGGUGGUGGGCUGAUAAGAGCAUCCCUGCUCUCCCGGCCCUCGACUUCUGCAGCCCUAAGAAUCCCCUGCUCUCUCAUCAAAUACAAACUUUAAAACGAUGGUACCCAUGAGACAGCCCUGGGAAAAAGCAUAUUAGGGACACUCCUUAUGGAGGAGAAGCUGAUUCUACUAAUGGUGCGUUUUCAGUAAAUGAGAAACGGACUCUGAUCGAAAUUAAAUCUGUGGUUCAACGAAGGUUUUUAGUAUUCUCUUCCUUAGUGCCUAAUGUGGAAAGACAUGCGCCCAAGUUUACAACUGUUUUCCUCAUCCCACCAUCCUUUGGGGUUGGAUCCAAAAGACUUGGAACCAUUCCUGCUUCCCAAGUCAAGCACCAGGUUGAGGGGGACUCAGUAUGUUCCAGGCCCUGACACAGACUGGCAUCGUAAAUGACGGGGAGUCCCACAAGUCCUCCAAACCCAGUCUGGCCCAGGGCUUGCCACCACCGCAUGCCAGAUGGCCACCCCACACGCAAAGAUGUGGCAGCACCACCCUGUCCACACACCCUGACCCCACGAGCCUCAGAAAGGAGGCUCAGGUUCUGACAGAACGUCUGGUGAAUACCAGCAUUCUUCCCCUUUGUUGGAAGUAUCAGAGUCACGUGAGAGGGGUAAGGCGAGGGAAGGGUGGUCCGUGACCUGCAGAACAGAAUGCCCCCCCAGCAGAGCUGUUCGCCGCACACAAGGAAAUGCGUGUCUAGAUUAGGAGUACUCACCGGUGACAUCUAGGCCACUUGCUCACCCUUUACACCUUACCCUCUAAGGUGCCACCAGUGUGCCUUCACAGAGGUCCCCAAAGGACCCAGAAACUGGAGUACUGCUUAUUCAUUAUUUCCAGAGAGAGAGAGGAUCUGAGGUGACUUGUCGUGAAAGGCCCACAAGUAAAACUGAUCAAGUGAGAAUAAAGAAUGAAAUGAUGAAAUGAACAAAAAUUGUCGUAAAGAUAACGGAGGCCAAGUCUGGGUGCGGCAACAGCGUAGCAUGUAGUCGGAUGCCUCCUGACACUACGGGGAGAAGUUCCGCAAGUUACGGCCAGUUGUAAUUACAGAGUAUUAACUCUCAAAUGGCACAACACCCGGCUGGCUUCUGCUUCCAUUUCAGAUGAAAACUGGCUGUACAUUCAGCUUGUGAUAUCUACGUGUUGCCUAAAAGAUGUUGAAUCUCAUCUGUGUGGGUGAUACAGAGAUUGGCCCUAGGCUGCCCUGGCUCUCGGUGAUUUGCGGACAGACACGGAAGGAGAUCUUCUGGAAAACUCAAUCACAAAGGGAAGGCACUCAUCAGACCUCAAGGGAUCCAUAGUCUGGCUCCAACUGUCAGAGCUUGAUUUUCCUUACCUCAAAGUCAUUUCCUUUGUUAUAGUGCAUAUUGAGAGCUCGAAAAAGUUCUGAGUCUCGGAGUACCACCAGCAUUUUGGGAUUUGUGACACCAUCUGAAAUCGCUUGCCGGGCGGAUUUUUCCAUUUGGAUGUAAUAAAACUCACGAAAGUUGCUGAACCACUUGAUCAUCUGGGAGGUAAUGCAGCGGUUGAACUGUACAAACAACAGGGCCCAUCAGGUCGGAUGUUUGCCAUGAGGUGCUCAGAGCCAGAACUCUCAGCCUCCAUUUCAACAUAGGGCUUAAUAAGGAUGGCUUCAGCCACCAUGAGAAAGGGCUUUCUUUAAAAAAGAAGUCAUAGCCGUUUUCCUAGCCUUUUCACUUGUACACAGAAAAAUCCGAAUUAGCUAUAAUGCCGAUUAGAAAAUACUGUUUUGAUGUACUUACUAUAUUUAUGACUUUUUUACCCACGAAAAGAUUUCCAUGGUGUCUACUGUGACUUUGGGAGGGUUUCGGGUCAAAGCCAGUGUGGUACCAGCUUCUGCUGCACCUGGGCAGGUGGCACAGCAGCCCCAGAGCUCUCUGCCGAGUCAAGGGCAAAGGAAGGGAUAAGGGUAUAGAGCAGAGAGCAGGCCAUUGCAACCUUGGAGUUGCAGAAUGAAUCGAAAUCAGAGCUUGGUGCAGGAGUCAACCAAGCAACCGAAUAUGAGGGAAAGAUCUGGAAAACACAAAGAAGUAGAUUCAAAGUAUUAGCUGCCCUCUCCCAACACCCAGGGUAAGGGAACAGGCAUAGUCUGGUUCCAGCUGUCAGAGCUUGAUUUUCCUUAUCAUCAUGCUUGAUGUCUACAUACCUUCAUUCAGUGUUGAAAUACAGCAAUUUGAAUAUAAAUGUGACAAUGUCCAACCCUUUACGUAUUCUAUCUUUUUCAUAGUCUUCCCCAGCAGAGAUAAAACACUAGGCCAAAAAUGCCAUUUACUUAUGUUUCUCUCUCCCCUCCACCCUUCCUCCCCAUGGGUUUGUAUAUCUACAGGUCAAAAGCUUAAUAUUCAGAUACCCAACCUUUGUGGCCCAAAGUUAUUCAUACAGAGUCUCAGCCCAGAACUGGAAAUUGUACCGAUCCCAUCAGCAACAUGAAGGGGACCUGAGGUGCACAUAAGAUGACCUAGGACUUGCCUCCCACUGGGCAAAACCAUUCCCUCUUGGGAGUUUUUCAGAGGCUUUCAGAGGUGAAGAAUGACUUUACCUGGACAUCAGGGAAAUAAGCCUUCAGCAGGUUGGAGCUGGGGUAGCGUGUGAAGAAAAACAUGAGUUUGGCCUUCUUCAAGUGACCAGGAUUUAGGCCCUCCUGGAUUUAUCUCAGCGUCAAGGAAAACUAACACCGCUUUAUCACGUGAUUUUUAUCCGUUAAUCCAAAUAAUGACUUGUCCUGUUCCUGACGGUUUCUUUUUUUCUUUUGUUUCAUUUUUUCUGGGCGAAUGGUGUAUUAGUUCCAUUCUUCUGUCUGAUCAGAUAAGCUCUUUCUUAGGGUGCCUGGCUGGAUCAGUCGGUAAAACCAGUGACUCCUGAUCUCGGGGUUGUGAAUUCAAGUCCCACACUGGACCUAGAGCUUACUUAAAAACUAAGAAAAAAGCUUUUGCUUUCCAGAUGCUCAAUACCAUAUAUGUACCGUAAAUUUGCAGAAUUCAAAAAACAUUUUGAGGUGUGAAAGUUCUACAGCCUUUAUGAUAUCAAAUACAGUUUGUUGUACUUUGUGUGUGUGCUUUCAGAACAGGAUGGGGAAAGAUGGCAGGUCUGUCCCAGAUUUCAAAGCCCCACAUAGAGAUUUCAUUCCCCUUCUGGGCCUCAGUUUCUUCAUCUGUAAAAUGAGACAAGCCCACUAGAUGGUCCCCAUUCUAUUCGCAGAGCUCCCUUUGCAGUGUUUAAGCCAAUGAACACCUAACCUGCCUGAGUACAAGAGCACAGUUGGCUCCAGCUCAGGAAGCUUGAACUUCUCGGCUGUGUCUGCUCCUCAUUUGCCUGGCAGAGCUUCCCUCACCCUUCCCAGUUCAGCCCAGACACCCUUCCUCUGUGAAAUAUUUCCUUGCUGAAUGAGGCCUUCCUUACCCUGGGCUAUCAAGGCUUUUUGUACAAACCUCUGUUGUAGCAAUGACCUCCCUGGAAUUUUUACUGCAUGUUUGUCUCCCCAUUUAGACUGUGAGCUCCUUGAGGGCAAGCACCUUAUCUUUUCAUCUUUGUAUUCCACAUGCCUAGCCCGGUGCUAGGAACAUAGUAGGUGCUCAAUAAAUGUUGGUUGGAUGAAGGAA